AGGGCCAGUUGCUGUCAGCAUUGAAGAACCAGUGCAUCCAUCGACAGCAAGACUUACAAGCUCUGGCUGUUCAGUGACUCAUUUCCAACCCAACAAGAACAGACGGUGUGGAGAGCGACUUAUUGGAUUGGAUCCCACCCAGCAGUGACUUAUACGCUCAACCUAUAUGUCACAGAUGGAUCUGAACAUCCGCAGAGACCUGGAGGGGAGUGGAGCCGCUGGAAUCUCAGUCUACCUUUAACACUUAAAGUAAAGGUGUUUGCUGGAUAUCUGCUGAGGAACACUAUUCAGAAGAGACAAAGGCAUUGCUAAUAAUUAGAAUUUAAGCUUUGAAUCCCAUAAAAACCAAAUCCUGUGUAUAAUUAUUGACAUAUUCUGUAUUACUUAAAGCGAAAUUCAAUCUGAAGGUGUAUCUGUAUGUGGCUGUAAAACAUAAUACCCUGAUGAUAAUGAUUGUCAUGUUAAUAAAGAACUUGGGUUUACCACUGUUGUGGUGUCUUGAUAUCUCAAAAACAUCUGAACCAGUUCCUGACAUUUCGUUGAAGCAGACCCACAUAUCAAAUUUCCAGUGAUAGACUAAUUAAAAUUAUAAUAUGAAACUGAUAAAGAUUUAAGGUUCAAUUAUUGAGGAUAUAUGUUUGCAGGGGAAACUAUUUAACUGUUCAGCUUUGGGAGCUGGCUUGCAAUCUACAAAUGCCCUUUAGUUGCAACAUCGCACAGAAGUGACACAUAACUAUUAUAACCCAUUUUCCCUUUAUUUCCUGAACUUUUAGCCAGUGAUCUCCUGUGAAACUGCACUAAGCAGGUUGCCACAACAAGUGCAAAAAGCCUACUAGCUGCCAUCUCUCUUUCUAUUUCUCAAUCCGUGUUUCUUUCAGACAGUUUUAAUCUCUGGUAAGACAGUCACGUAUAGAUUUGUCGUCUGCCAUGUAAACUCCAGUGGAAAGCGACCAGCCGCCGGUGCCUCCAGUCUCCUCAGCUCUCCUUCAUUACCGCGCACAGUGGUAGAGCCAGAGCUCACGGUGUGGUAAUCCCUGCUGCAAGGCGUCACCAUAUACUGUCAUUAAUGAAACGGAAGAGACACAUACACACACACACACACACACACACGCAAGAGCACAUGCACGCACACGCACGUACACACCCACAGUCAGGACUGGCUGAAAGAUGAAUGGUAGC